rnacentral:rRNA from 1 species
UACGUAGGUGGCAAGCGUUGUCCGGAUUUACUGGGCGUAAAGCGCCCGCAGGCGGCUUGGCAAGUCUGAGGUGAAAUCUCCCGGCUCAACUGGGAGGGUGCCCCGGAAACUGCCAGGCUCGAGGCAGGGAGAGGGAUGUGGAAUUCCCGGUGUAGUGGUGAAAUGCGUAGAUAUCGGGAGGAACACCAGUGGCGAAGGCGGCAUCCUGGCCCUGUCCUGACGCUCAGGGGCGAAAGCGUGGGGAGCAAACGGG